rnacentral:rRNA from 1 species
CAGCAGUAGCCGCGGUAAUACGAGGGGGGCAAGUGUUGUUCGGAAUUAUUGGGCGUAAAGGGUGCGUAGGCGGUCUGAUAAGUCUUAUGUGAAAUCUAUGGGCUCAACCCAUAGUCUGCAUAGGAAACUGUCGGGCUCGAGAGUGGGAGAGGUGAGUGGAAUUUCCGGUGUAGCGGUGAAAUGCGUAGAUAUCGGAAGGAACACCUGUGGCGAAAGCGGCUCACUGGACCAUUUCUGACGCUGAUGCACGAAAGCUAGGGGAGCAAACAGGAUUAGAUACCCCGGUAGUCCCUGUCUCUUAUAC